UUAAGCUAAUAAGGGCAUGCGGCGGAUGCCUUGGCGCUGGAAGACGAUGAAGGACGUGGUAAGCUGCGAUAAGUUCCGGGUAGGUGCAAACAACCGUUAAUCCGGAAAUCUCCGAAUGGGGCAACCCAUCCGAGGUAAACCUUGGAUGCGCCCUGCUGAAUACAUAGGCAGGAGCGCGGCAACCGGGGGAAGUGAACCAUCUCAGUACCCCGAGGAAGAGAAAUCAAACGAGAAUCCCUGAGUAGCGGCGAGCGAAACGGGACGAGCCUAAACCGAUAUGAUGUCAAGCCUGUCGGCGUUGUCAUAUCGGCGUUGUAGGGCGGAAUUUGGGAAGGCGGCAGACUUCCCGCCGCGAUUUGGUGUUAAGCUGAACGGACCUGGAAAGGCCGGCUAUAGAAGGUAACAGCCCUGUAAACGUAAUCACCAAAUUGCGGUAGUUUCGUUCCUGAGUAGUGCGGGACACGAGUAAUCCCGUAUGAAUCUGGGGGGUCCACCCUCCAAGGCUAAACACUCUCCAGCGACCGAUAGCGCAAAAGUACCGUGAGGGAAAGGUGAAAAGUACCCCAAUAAGGGGAGUGAAAUAGUACCUGAAACCGCAUGUCUACAAACAGUCGAAGCACGUGUGUUUUCGCCGUAAGGCGAAACCGUGCGACGGCGUGCCUUUUGCAGAAUGAGCCAGCGAGUUGCUCCCGCGUAGCAAGGUUAAUCCCCUCAGGGGAGGAGCCGGAGCGAAAGCGAGUCCUAACCGGGCGUUUAGUUUCGCGGGGCAGACCCGAAGCGGGAUGAUCUAUCCUUGGCCAGGGUGAAAGUCGGGUAACACCGACCGGAGGCCCGAACCAGUGUGCCUUAAAAAGCGCUUGGAUGAGCUGAGGAUGGGGGCGAAAGACCAAUCAAAUUCCGUGAUAGCUGGUUCUCUCCGAAAUGUUUAUAGGAACAGCCUCAAGCCUAUCGUGACGGUGGUAGAGCACUGGAUGGAAUAGGGGGCCUACAAGCCUACCGACCCCAACCAAACUCCGAAUGCCAUCACCUAACUGCUUGGGAGUGAGACUACGAGUGCUAAGAUCCGUGGUCAAAAGGGAAUGAACCCAGAUCCACAGCUAAGGUCCCUAAAUUGACGCUAAGUGGCGAAGGAUGUGGAACCUUUUAGACAACCAGGAUGUUGGCUUAGAAGCAGCCAUCAUUCAAAGAGUGCGUAACAGCUCACUGGUCAAAAGAUUCUGCGCCCAAAAUCACCGGGGCUCAAGCGUCAUACCGAAGCUUGGGGUCACGACUUUAAGUCGGGACGGUAGGAGAGCAUUCCAUGCGCUGAGAAGGCGGACCGUGAGGACCGCUGGAGCCGAUCAUGGAAGAGAGUAUGCUGGCAUUAGUAACGAUAAAACAGGUGAAAAACCUGUUCGCCGAAAAUCCAAGGUUUCCUGGGGAAGGUUAAUCCGCCCAGGGUUAGUCGGUCCCUAAGGCGAGGCCGCAAGGCGUAGCUGAUGGAAAGCAGGCGAAAAUUCCUGCACCACUUGGCGGGCGAUAAAGACACGGUGGGGCGACGCGGAAGGGUAAUCCUAAAGCCUGACGGAUGGCUUGCGAAACCUGUAGGUUGGGAGAUUGGCAAAUCCGUCUCCCGUUAAGACUGAGAGGAAUCGGGAAGAAGGACUACGGUCCAACGAACUGGAUGACCCCAUGCCGCCGAGAAAAACCUCGUUCCGUGAGUCCGCAGAGUGACCGUACCGUAAACGGACACACGUAGAUAAGGCGAGAAGCCUAAGGCGCUCGGGAUAACUCUGGAGAAGGAACUAGGCAAAAUAGCCCCGUAACUUCGGGAGAAGGGGUGCCCCCGCUACGUAAUGGGCCCGCGCCCAAAGCGGAAGGGGGUCGCAGUGACCAGGCUCAAGCGACUGUUUACCAAAAACACAGCACUCUGCCAAGUCGAAAGACGAUGUAUAGGGUGUGACGCCUGCCCGGUGCCGGAAGGUUAAAAGGCGGUGUUAGCUGGUUCUCGGAUCGGCGAAGCGCCAAAUUGAAGCCCCGGUAAACGGCGGCCGUAACUAUAACGGUCCUAAGGUAGCGAAAUUCCUUGUCGGGUAAGUUCCGACCCGCACGAAUGGCGUAACGAUUUGAGCGCUGUCUCCUCCAGAGGCCCGGUGAAGUUGAGCUACCAGUGAAGACGCUGGUUACCCGCAGCUGGACGGAAAGACCCCGGAACCUUUACUACAGCCUAAUAUUGGCGCCUGACUUGUCAUGUAGAGGAUAGGCAGGAGGCGUUGAAGCAGGGACGCUAGUCUCUGUGGAGCCAACCUUGGAAUACUGCCCUUGUCAUGUUAAGCGUCUAACCUGCGACCGUGAAUCCGGUCGAGGGACAGUGUUUGGUGGGUAGUUUAACUGGGGCGGUUGCCUCCCAAAAUGUAACGGAGGCGCGCGAAGGUGCUCUCAGAACGGUUGGCAAUCGUUCGUAGAGUGUAUUGGCACAAGAGCGCUUGACUGCGAGACCGACGGGUCAAGCAGAUGCGAAAGCAGGCCAAAGUGAUCCGGCGAUUCUGUGUGGAAGGGUCGUCGCUCAUCGGAUAAAAGGUACUCUGGGGAUAACAGGCUGAUCGCAUCCAAGAGUUCACAUCGACGAUGCGGUUUGGCACCUCGAUGUCGGCUCAUCGCAUCCUGGGGGUGUACAAGCUCCCAAGGGUUUGUCUGUUCGCCAAUUAAAGCGGUACGUGAGCUGGGUUCAGAACGUCGUGAGACAGUUCGGUCUCUAUCUACUGUGGGCGUAGGAGUUUUGAGGGGAGCUCUCCUUAGUACGAGAGGACCAGGAGGGACGGACCUCUGGUUUUCCGGUUGUGCCGCCAGGUGCAGCGCCGGGUAGCUAUGUUCGGAUCGGAUAACCGCUGAAGGCAUCUAAGCGGGAAGCCAACCCCAAGAUUAGAACUCCCUCUACCGCAAGGUGGACUGAAGGCACCAGGAAGACUACCUGGUUGAUAGGCUGGAUGUGGAAGCGCAGCAAUGCGUGAAGCUAACCAGUACUAAUAUGCCGUGCGGCUUAA
rnacentral:rRNA from 1 species